AGCCUAAUAGGGGGAAUAGAGUUUCAUGUACAAGUCAUGUAGAAGAGUUGACAGGAGUCAGCUGGGCUACAGUUAGAACAGGGGGCUGCUGUUGUUUCCCUUCUGUGCUGGGAACUUAGUUCAAAUUCCCACGAUUGCAGGAAGGAAAUCUCCCAACAGAUUGGGCAGUGAUGCUUGGAAACUGCCCCCAGGUGGAAGUUGGGUUUAUGCAAGAGGAAGAGGACAGGCUCAUGCAGACACAUCUGGUACUUGAACUGUAGAUAUUUCUGCUCCUAUAAACUCCCUGUACUUAGAGCUGUUAGUUCAUAUACCAGCCAGUUGGAGAGCAGAUGAGACAGCACAGUCCUGAACAUGAUUCCCAUUGCCUUACAGCCAUGAUGUUGCCCAUCUCAUGUUGGCUCUUUCCAGUGGACAGGACCUUCUUUUCCCUUGUUUCUCAUCUAUAGUCCUAGAAAUGUGAGGGCCUCAUCAUUGAAGAGGACAUGACUACUAGCAUCACAACAUACUUUCCAUAAUGUCUUUUAAGAACAGUGGAGAGAAAGGGCAGAGCCCUGGAGCCUGAAGGCCAGAACAGCACCACAACCAGAUCAACUUGCCUGUCAUUGUCUCUGGACUUGCCUCCCUUCCAGGAGAGGGACUCACCACUCAGAUGACCUCCUCCUGCCUGGAGCCAGAGGAGCCUGAGAGCAACCAGGUGAGUCCCUGCUUCCUUCAUGCACUGCUUGCAAGCAGUGUCCUGUGUGCCUGCUCUAGAGGAGCUACAGGCAGCUGACAAAUGCUCCCAUCCUUUGGGACAGCUUUCCCUGGCAACCACAGCCCUGACCAGUACGUGCUCCAGGGCCACUACUGAUGGGACAAGGGAGUUAUGAAUUGUCAUUGAAAAUGGGAAAGAGACAAUGAGAGGUAUUAAAGAAAAAUCACAGCACUGUUAGCACAGUCAAUACUCACAUCUCCCUCACACUGAGCAAAUUACAAAGAAACAAAACAAAAAAGGUUAGUAAACAAAACAGCAUCAACAGGAAGGACAAAGCACAACGUCUGAGGGAAAUGCACAAGCCCAGGAACCCCAUACAGCAGCUUAAGGGACUGGGCAGCAGCAUACUUGGAGGGUCAGUCACAAGACAAAAGCUGUGGGAACACAAGUUUUGCACUACAAAGGAGAACAGCAGCAAGAGAGAGGUGAGCUGGGGAAGGUGCAGUACUUAAGGCCAGCUUGAACAUAGAGAUGUGGCACAGGAUUCCAGGCACAUUAUAGGAAGCACUGGUCUAAUCAUGAGUUAACUUGCCUGAUGCUGAAGCAGCAGUUCACCCUUCCAUGCCUUGUGCCUUGUCCCCUGAUAGUUAGUAAAGGACCUUGAGGCCUGAGGCCAGGGACCUCACCCUCAAGCUAAGCUGGGUGCCCACAACAGCAGCUGAGGUUGCUCUUCUGUUGUGGUGAUCUGUUCCAUAGAAGCAGAGCUAUUAAAGGCUCUGGAGAGCCUUAGAGUGGCUCUGCAUCCUGUCUGGAGAGCAUCAGCACUGCAGCUCCAGGGGGAGACCAGGUUUCUCUUCUCUAGCUACAGGAAAUCCCCAUUCAAGGGUCUUUCUACAAUUGAGAGACCUUGGGAUCACUUCAUGUUGGAAGCAAGGUAAAAAGGAAGAGAGUAGAAAGGGAGGAAGCAUACAAGUUCUCUAAAUUCCUAAUCUGAUUUAAGCCUAAGAUAAAGCAGUAGUCACAGCUUCCACUAGCAAGUCCUCAUGUCAACAGUACAAGAUGGCAAUUUGCCUCAACAGGGUCCUCCAGGGAUCCCAUCUCUGCCCAGCUGCAUUCUCUCUGCCUCCUGUUACCUGGUCUCUGCCCAGACAACAGCCCUGAGCUGACAGCUCUCAGCCUCAGAGAACUCUGCAGUCCUUAUUCCACAUCCCCAUUUUUCAGGCCUGUGGGACACUGGCUUAGCAGCUCCCUUCUGCACUGUCCUGGGAGCUUCAUGUUUACCAGCCAUGAAUUCUCCAAAGACCAAACAGGCCAAAUCAUAACUAGUCUGAAAUCCUGGGACUCCUUCAGAGCCCCAGCACUCUUUCCUGUUGUACACCUUCCAGCUCAGCUCUCUCUUUGCUUGCUUUCAGGUCCCCAGGGAGAUUUAGCAAGUCCUCAGAAGAUGUGGCCUUUUAGUUACCAACACAAAUCACCCAGCUACAACCUGAACUGCCAGGAACCACUGUCAGUCAGAAGACAGGAGCAUGGCUUAAGUGUGAGUUUCCAGCCUCUGGCAGCUCAGAACUAUUUCUUUCAAUAACUUUCCCAUGGAAGGGUAUCUGAGGAACAGACACAUUGUGCCUGCUCACAGUUCCCUUCCAUACCAGAUGAGAAACCCUCCCGCUUAUGCCUGCCAGAGUAGGGCAGCCUGACUUAUGUCCAGAGAUCUUUUGGAACUGCUCAUGUGGGUCAAACCUUGUGGCCAGAAGGACAGAGGGAAUGAGGGAAAAAGUUACCGCUGCUUUUGCUUCUGCAGCUUUGGCUUUCUUCAACCGUGCUUUGCAGGCAUCCAGAUCCAGGCGGCGGUUCUGCAGGAUCCUCCUCUCUUUCUGGAAGAGACAGAAAAGGGGAAAGGAGCAGGCUGAUUAGGAGCUGCUGGGAAGGGAAAGGACCAAUGUAUCACGAGGUGGAACUGAGAACUCACAGCAUUGCCGGGUGCAGGGACCACCUCUUUACGCAGCAACUUGCAGCAAGAUCAGAUGAAAGCAACAACCAGCAAAGGAGAUUAGAGGUAUCCAGUAGCCAAGGCAUUAUCUCCAUUAAGGUCAGAAAGCAGAGGGGAAAAGUCUACUUUAUCACUAGAGCUCAGGGAGAUGGUAGAGUCCAUCUUUCUCCAGGAGCUUUAAGAUGGAACAAGUCAAGAUACAGCUGCUAGUGGUAACUUCAGCCAGCACCCACUGACUUUCCAUCAGAACUGAUAGAAGACAGACACCUACAAUUAUAUCCAGACAUCCCUCAGAAAAUCUGGUUUGCAGCCUGUCUAGAGCAGAGACAUCCAGUGUGUCACCUUCAGAAGAACUGAUGCUAACUCCUACAGGGAGGCCAGAACUGCCUCCUCUGAGGAGGUUUGGGCCCAUUUAAUGGUAACUGGAAGAUGCAGCUGACCAAAAAAUAAAGUCUUAUUCUCCUUCAAUGAAGGUAAGAAUGAUUUGUGCGAGGGCUGUCCUGCAGAUGCCAGAGCUGUUAGGGAUGUAACUGCAACCCUUGGAGGAUGCUGUGACUGUAUCCUUAGAGGAUAGUGGUGACUGUUGAAACAAGUGUCAGUAUAGUAAAUCCUCAUCUGGGAUUCUGAAUCCUAGAAAAGCUCUUAAUCCAUGCAGUCGUACAAGCCUGGGAGUUUAUUUCCCACUCUCGUGGCAUCAGGGCUUACAACUACCUUUUUUCCUAUGCUUUAGCUUGUAGCUGCUUUGUUUUUUAUGAAGCAUUUUCUGAGAGCAUAAGAGAUGCCAUAAAGCCCACAGGACACUGCCUUGUGGGGGUGUACACAGCCUAUUAACAUGGUUACUGCAUACACAGCUAUGGAGAAAUACUGUACAGCUCCUUCCCCAUGGCUGUGUCUGCUCCUGUUACUCCCAGGAGAGGGGAGUCCAGCAAGGAACCUGAUUCUCCUCUGGCAGGAGACUGACUACGUGGUGCCUGAGGAGACCAGUUCCUAAAAGAGCCAGGAUUAUUCCACUGCAGAUUUGGAACGAGACAGCACUGCUCUGGUUGUUUCUCAACCCCCACAGCAUGGGUAGAACAAGAAGCCCAGUCCUAGAAUCACCAGCAGGAGUUCAGCACUGGGUCAGGACGCCAACCAGCUCUGAUUUACCUCUCUCCUCUCCCACCUGCCCAGGGGCAGUCUCCCAGUUGUGCCUGAGGAGCAGGCAGGCUCAGCAGCCACCUCUCACCACCUGCUGCACACUUUGUUCAUCACAGGUAGCCAAGCUUCUUCAGUCUGUGGUUUUGGGACAUCACUGCAUCCUGGGCAGGCUCCUGAUACCUAAAGGAUCUAAAGGAUGAUCUAAAGGUUGAUCUAAAGGAUGCUUUGAUGCCACUUUAGACCAGUGAGACAUUGCCUGCUCGGUCUCAGCAGCUCCUUCCCAUCUCCGACAGCUGUUUUGUCGAGUCCUGGCAGCUUCUGCAGCCUGACCUCGUGGGUGACUGAAUCACCACCAUGAAACACCACUUCCACCCCACCUGCCUGACAGCAGGGCACAGCCCCCCAGCAGGCCGGCUCACUAGGUGCAGUUAACAGCUGUCUACGAGGUUUUAAAACAGCUUAAGGACAACAACCACAACGCAACCAGCAUUCACUCCUUUCCCUUGCCCUGGUCCCUGCUGCAGCCAGAAGCAUCCCUGGUGCUAUCGCCCCAUUAUGGAGCACUGCCGGCCCAGGAACAUGGCAGCAGCAGGGCUCAGCUCUGCUCUUGCUCCACGUUACCCAGCACUGCUCGCUGCAGAUGCCAGCCUUAAAUCUCUUUUCUACCUCCAAGAAAGCUGCAGAAAAACCAAACACAGCAACAAAAAAACACCCUCAGCGCUUAAAACUAAUGCUUUAGCAAACAGAUCCUGGGCGGGAUGCUGUGUGCCCUGAAGCAGAGAUAAGAAUGGGGAAGCCGACUGCAGGGGGAACAGCGCAUCGCUGGGUGCUUCCCCUCGGACCAGGGGACUCCCCGGCCCCCAGGGCUGCCCCCCCCCGGUUCAGUGCUAUGGUGACUCGCUCCAUCCCGCA